UGGAACCUACGGGGCGCAGCAGUAGGGAAUCUUCCACAAUAGACGAAAGUCUGAUGGAGCGACGCCGCGUGAGUGAAGAAGGGUUUCGGCUCGUAAAGCUCUGUUGGUAGUGAAGAAAGAUAGAGGUAAUAACUGGCCUUUAUUUUACGGUAAUUACUUAGAAAGUCACGGCUAACUACGUGCCAGCAGCCGCGGUAAUACGUAGGUGGCAAGCGUUGUCCGGAUUUAUUGGGCGUAAAG
rnacentral:rRNA from 1 species